UGGCGCAUUCUGUUGGAUACAGUUUUUAAAUAGGAUUUAAAUUUCUUCCUAUGUUUUCUGGUAGACUCUCUAUUGAUUUUAUGUAUCUGUGAAAUUGACGACUUCUUUUCCUUCAUAGUUAAACAUUUGGCAUUGAAUAUCAUUUCUUUUUCUGAUAACUGUGCUGUGUUCAUCUGGUUUUUAGAGUCAGAUAAAACAGGCAUGAAGAAAUCUAAAGGACCCAGGAAAAUUGCAG
rnacentral:antisense_RNA from 1 species